rnacentral:lncRNA from 1 species
AUGAUUAGAUUGCUGAUGGUUGGGCGCAAAUAUGAAACCUUCAACGAUCUCUACAACAAUUUUAGGGCUUAUAAAAUCUUUAUUCUGUUCUGAAGUUAUAUUUAUCAAUUUCUCAGUUACAACGAGCUAAGAUCCAAUGUUUUCGCGACCACUUGUUAAACAAACAACAACAACUGUUUCUAUGACCACAUGUCCGACUAAGAUCCAACACCUUUAGUCUCGUCCUGGCCCGAACUAAUUUUAGAACACGUUUGAUCCAAACCCGUUACCCAGCCCAGUCUGACCCAUUUUACCUGGUAUAUGUCUACACAAUAACCCAUAAGGGAUUUCCAUGGUAUGUCAACGAAAGGGGAUAAGAUGUUUGCAGCUUUGAUAAUUGGUUUGGCUGUGUUUGCGAAUGUAGUUAAUAUAUACAACGAUGCAUAUGCAUUUUUCAAGAGAAACCCUUCUCCUCGUGCUUGAGUUUUGUGGCGCCGAUGGAGCCAAACUUUGUAUAAAAUGAUUGUUUAUUCAAACAUGUUUUGUUAAGUGCAAGAGAACUUGCUUCAGCGCGAUGUUUGUAAUAUAUGCUUGUACUAAAGAAUCAUAUUGUUGUUGAAUUUAUAGGCUUGCACGUUGACGUGCAAUGAGAAUACCUGUUUUUGAAUG